rnacentral:rRNA from 1 species
UACAGAGGGUGCAAGCGUUAAUCGGAAUUACUGGGCGUAAAGCGCGCGUAGGUGGUUCGUUAAGUCCGUUGUGAAAGCCCUGGGCUCAACCUGGGAAUGGCAGUGGAUACUGGCGAGCUAGAGUGUGAUAGAGGAUGGUGGAAUUCCCGGUGUAGCGGUGAAAUGCGUAGAGAUCGGGAGGAACACCAGUGGCGAAGGCGGCCAUCUGGAUCAACACUGACGCUGAGGCACGAAAGCGUGGGGGAGCAAACAGG